rnacentral:rRNA from 1 species
UAGGGAAUCUUCGGCAAUGGACGAAAGUCUGACCGAGCAACGCCGCGUGAGUGAAGAAGGUUUUCGGAUCGUAAAACUCUGUUGUUAGAGAAGAACAAGGACGUUAGUAACUGAACGUCCCCUGACGGUAUCUAACCAGAAAGCCACGGCUAACUACGUGCCAGCAGCCGCGGUAAUACGUAGGUGGCAAGCGUUGUCCGGAUUUAUUGGGCGUAAAGCGAGCGCAGGCGGUUUCUUAAGUCUGAUGUGAAAGCCCCCGGCUCAACCGGGGAGGGUCAUUGGAAACUGGGAGACUUGAGUGCAGAAGAGGAGGGUGGAAUUCCAUGUGUAGCGGUGAAAUGCGUAGAUAUAUGGAGGAACGCCAGUGGCGAAGGCGGCUCUCUGGUCUGUAACUGACGCUGAGGCUCGAAAGCGUGGGGAGCAAACAGG